rnacentral:rRNA from 1 species
UGAGGAAUUUUGCGCAAUGGGCGAAAGCCUGACGCAGCAACGCCGCGUGGACGACGAAGGUCUUCGGAUCGUAAAGUCCUGUCGAGUGGGAAGAAAAAUGUGGGCGCUAAUACCGCUCGCAUUCGACUGUACCACCAAAGGAAGCCCCGGCUAACUCCGUGCCAGCAGCCGCGGUAAUACGGAGGGGGCUAGCGUUGUUCGGAAUUAUUGGGCGUAAAGGGCGCGUAGGCGGCCGGAUAAGUCUGACGUGAAAUCCCUCGGCCCAACCGGGGAACUGCGUUUGAAACUGUUCGGCUCGAGUCCGGGAGAGGGUAGUGGAAUUCCCAGUGUAGCGGUGAAAUGCGUAGAUAUUGGGAGGAACACCGGUGGCGAAGGCGGCUACCUGGACCGGUACUGACGCUGAGGCGCGAAAGCUGGGGUAGCAAACAG